GAGCGUUGUCCGGAUUUAUUUGGGCGUAAAGCGAGCGCAGGUGGUUUAUUAAGUCUGGUGUAAAAGGCAGUGGCUCAACCAUUGUAUGCAC
rnacentral:rRNA from 1 species